GGAGGGAUGGCCGAGUGGCUGAAGGCGGCGGUCUUGAAAACCGUUAUACGUUAACGCGUAUCGUGGGUUCGAAUCCCACUCCCUCCG
rnacentral:tRNA from 1 species